CCUACCCCUGAAGGCUCGAUCGCACCCACAGAUGAUGAGAUUUGUGAUCAGGUGCUUGGUAUGAGAUCUUAUUAUGUUAGAAAUUUAGGAUAUGAGAUCACUGCUCUCUCAUCCUUACACUUGUCUAGGAUUGACAUCCAUUCUACCUGCGAGGCUCGACUGACGGAGAUGCAGAGGUAGACUGUCGAGGAUCAAUAGUAGAUUGAGCAGCAAGCUCAAGAGUUGGCUGCACGUGUCGAUGAGUAUUAGCAACUCCAGAUCUAGAUGAUAGAGUAGAUGGCGUAGAUGGAGCAAAUGAUACAGCUGAUGAGAUAGUAGCA
rnacentral:lncRNA from 1 species